rnacentral:rRNA from 1 species
GAUGAACGCUGGCGGCGUGCUUAAUACAUGCAAGUCGAACGAAGACAGUAGCAAUAUUGUCUGAGUGGCGAACGGGUGAGUAACGCGUUGGUGACCUGCCCCGAAGAGAGGGAUAACAGUCCGAAAGGAUUGCUAAUACCCCAUGUGGUUAUUUGGAUUAGAUGCCUUAUAACUAAACGGAUUUAUUCGCUUCGGGAGGGACCUGCGUCCCAUCAGCUAGUUGGUAGGGUAACGGCCUACCAAGGCUAUGACGGGUAGGGGACCUGAGAGGGUGGCCCCCCACAAUGGAACUGAAACACGGUCCAUACACCUACGGGUGGCUG